GACGAACGCUGGCGGCGUGCUUAACACAUGCCAGUCGAACGCUGAAGCUCAGCUUUUGUUGGGUGGAUGAGUGGCGAACGGGUGAGUAACACGUGAGUAACCUGCCCCCUUCUUUGGGAUAACGCCCGGAAACGGGUGCUAAUACUGGAUAUUCACUGGUCUUCGCAUGGGGGUUGGUGGAAAGGGUUUUUCUGGUGGGGGAUGGGCUCGCGGCCUAUCAGCUUGUUGGUGGGGUGAUGGCCUACCAAGGCUUUGACGGGUAGCCGGCCUGAGAGGGUGACCGGUCACAGUGGGACGGAGAUACGGCCAAGACUCCUACGGGAGGAAGCAGUGGGGAAUAUUGCACAAUGGGCGCAAGCCUGAUGCAGCGACGCCGCGUGAGGGAUGGAGGCCUUCGGGUUGUGAACCUCUUUCGCUCAUGGUCAAGCCGCAACAAUGGUUGUGGUGAGGGUAGUGGGUAAAGAAGCGCCGGCUAACUACGUG
rnacentral:rRNA from 1 species